ACAUAAAUUCCAACUAUUUUUUUCUGCAGAUGUAUCAAGCCAGACUAAUGGUUAUAAACAGACCGAAGACAAAGAACACAAUCUUCAAGUCUCUGCUUCUUGUCCUUCGCAAAGAUCUGCUCCAACCAGUUCUUCAGUGGAAGACGUGAGAAACCAUACCAAUGUGGACAAAGAUUCUUUUCCUGACGUUCUUCUGCAAGAAUCGGAAACAAGACAAAAAGUUCAAAGAGAAUAUGAAAGAAUGAGAGAAACCUUUCAAGAACAGGUUCGCAAGGAAAUAUCUUACAGAGAAGAGCUUGCUAAACAGCUACAGUUAGUUAGAGAUGCUCUAUGUCAAGAGCUGGAACAAGAACGGAAAGCUCGCUUCGCUGUUCAGCAAAAACUUAAAGGUAAAUAUGUAAAAAU